rnacentral:rRNA from 1 species
AGGGUUUGAUCCUGGCUCAGGAUGAACGCUGGCGGCGUGCUUAACACAUGCAAGUCGAACGAACCUUCGGGUUAGUGGCGGACGGGUGAGUAACGCGUGAGAAUCUGCCCUCAGGAGGGGGAUAACGGUUGGAAACGACCGCUAAUACCCCAUAUGCCUACUGGUGAAAUGAAUUUCGCCUGAGGAUGAGCUCGCGUCUGAUUAGCUAGUUGGUGAGGUAAUGGCUCACCAGGGCUUCGAUCAGUAGCUGGUCUGAGAGGAUGAUCAGCCACACUGGGACUGAGACACGGCCCAGACUCCUACGGGAGGCAGCAGUGGGGAAUUUUCCGCAAUGGGCGAAAGCCUGACGGAGCAACGCCGCGUGAGGGACGAAGGCCUCUGGGCUGUAAACCUCUUUUCUCAAGGAAGAAGAUAUGACGGUACUUGAGGAAUAAGCCACGGCUAAUUCCGUGCCAGCAGCCGCGGUAAUAC